rnacentral:sRNA from 1 species
UUAAGGAAAUUUAUUAUGAGACUCAGAAACACAGAAUUCAGGGAAAUCAAAGAGUUACAAGACUUGGGACAUUUCUAAUUAAGAUUACCAGUAAGGGAAAAUCCCCCCUAGACAGUGCCCUAAGACAAGCGGAAGGUUCCAGAAAAUUUGUUCCCCAUACAAUUUCUGGAAAGUGGCUACCUACCUCCUGCCCCACUCCCCCAACCAGCUCAGGAGUCCAGAGACUACAAAAUAGGCAUUAGGCUUACCUGCCACUCACAGUCCUGAAAAGCUGUUUAUCCAGAAAAACUUUUUUUAAGGGGAGCAAAGCCAUGCUUUUCCUGCUUUCUCUGCUCAACUACAAAAUUCCUCUCAGACUCUCCCUGGUCCAUUCCCCUGUACUUUCGAGAAGCUGUGCCCCGGAGUCUGGGGGCCUUCACCUCUCAGACCAAUACAAGUUUGAUCUUACUGCUACAUUUCUGAUGGAGUCUUUAUUUUUCUUAUAUCCCACCCCCACCUGCUUACUUCUGGCAGUGCGAAUAAGCCAUGAUCAAUUGAUGGGGAAGAUGAGCUUCUGGUGGAGCUGUCUGCAGCUCAGAGCUCUGCAGACAUAGCUUCACCUAUGCUCCUGUGGAGUACUGUAGAAUGCAGUUGUCCUUUCCAUAAUCCUAACACACCGAUUGGCUCAUCAAGCUAGAGUGGAGUAAUUUCCUUGGUCUGUCAUUUAUGCUUUAUAUAGGGUGAAUAGACACUGCUUAAUGUCUCCCAGGAAAAGUCACACAGACACACAAAACGGAGUUCAUUCAGAUUGCAGGAUGUAUCAUAUUUCAUAUUUAUGUGUGAAUAUUAUUUCACCAUAUGUAUAAACCACAUCAAGCUUCUGUAUUUAUGUAUUGAUGAACAUUUGGAUUGUUUCUAGCUUUUAGGUCUUCUGGAUAAUGUUUAAAGAAAAACUAGAGUACAUGUAUUUAAGUUCCUGCUUUCCGGUCUUUGAUUCUGCACCUUGAAAUGAAAUGUCUGGCUCACAGGAUGCUGUAUGGAACAUCCAAGCUUCUCAAGAGAAAUGGAUCUGCUUUUACAAAUGGUAUUGUAGAGACAACACUAUUACACACCCUGAGGGAAGAGUGUGGGGAGAUGAGAGAGGUGAACUCCUGUGCCUAUAUGUCUUUUGCUCCAUUGACUCACUGCUCUGUAAUCCUGGUAUGAAAUAAUCAAUAAGCAUUGGUUAUUAUGACUGUGGAAAUGAUGAAGCUAAUAUAUACCUUGCUAUACCGGUAUGUAGAUGUGUGUUCUACUGUAACAGCCCCUAGUUUGUUUGUUUUUAACACUUCUGGGACACCUAUCCUCCCAUUCAUCUCAAGUGCAUUGUACAAUCGGGCAGCAGUUCCCUGGGUUUUCUUUACUUUUAAUUGAGUGUCAGAUUGUCAAAAACUACGGCCAUUCCUUCCUUAGACUCUUAAUCUUAGGGUCUCUAUAUGGUUUCGCCUUUAUUUUCAGGUAAGGAAAUGAACUUCAGAGAGAUGACCACAGAUGAUAAGGAGCAGAUCUGAGACCUACAGCACCCAUCCUACACACAGUGAUUACACUCACUGCUCUUCCUAAUAUGGUUGAAGGAAGUGUUGCGAUCCAGUAAGCUCUAGGGAAUUGGUUGUCAGUGCGGAUCCUGGAAGUAAUCCUUCAAGUGUAUCAGGUAGAUAUGUUUGUGAUUCAAGGUACCUUUGUACAAAGACGAUGGAGUAGAUGUCAGCAUAAAUACA